rnacentral:rRNA from 1 species
GUUGGGUAGGGGAGCGUUCUGUAAGCCUGCGAAGGUGUACUGUGAGGUAUGCUGGAGGUAUCAGAAGUGCGAAUGCUGACAUAAGUAACGAUAAUGCGGGUGAAAAACCCGCACGCCGGAAGACCAAGGGUUCCUGUCCAACGUUAAUCGGGGCAGGGUGAGUCGACCCCUAAGGCGAGGCUGAAAAGCGUAGUCGAUGGGAAACGGGUUAAUAUUCCCGUACUGGUGGUAACUGCGAUGGGGGAACGGAGAAGGCUAGGUUGUCCGGGCGACGGUCGUCCCGGUUCAAGCAGGUAGGCAGAGUGAUUAGGCAAAUCCGGUCACUUAAUGCUGAGAUGUGAUGACGAACCACUAAGGUGGUGAAGCAAUUGAUGCCCCGCUUCCAGGAAAAGCCUCUAAGCUUCAGGUUACCAACAAUCGUACCCCAAACCGACACAGGUGGUCAGGUAGAGAAUACUCAGGCGCUUGAGAGAACUCGGGUGAAGGAACUAGGCAAAAUGGUGCCGUAACUUCGGGAGAAGGCACGCUGGCGGUAGGUAAAGUCCCUCGCGGACGGCGCUGAAGCCAGUCGAAGAUACCAGCUGGCUGCAACUGUUUAUUAAAAACACAGCACUGUGCAAACACGAAAGUGGACGUAUACGGUGUGACGCCUGCCCGGUGCUGGAAGGUUAAUUGAUGGGGUCAGCCGUAAGGCGAAGCUCCUGAUCGAAGCCCCAGUAAACGGCGGCCGUAACUAUAACGGUCCUAAGGUAGCGAAAUUCCUUGUCGGGUAAGUUCCGACCUGCACGAAUGGCGUAAUGAUGGCCAGGCUGUCUCCACCCGAGACUCAGUGAAAUUGAACUCGCUGUGAAGAUGCAGUGUACCCGCGGCAAGACGGAAAGACCCCGUGAACCUUUACUAUAGCUUGACACUGAACAUUGAGCCUUGAUGUGUAGGAUAGGUGGGAGGCUUUGAAGUGUGGACGCCAGUCUGCAUGGAGCCAACCUUGAAAUACCACCCUUUAACGUUUGAUGUUCUAACCUAGGCCCAUAAACUGGGUCGGGGACCGUGUCUGGUGGGUAGUUUGACUGGGGCGGUCUCCUCCUAAAGAGUAACGGAGGAGCACGAAGGUUGGCUAAGCAUGGUCGGACAUCAUGCGGUUAGUGCAAAGGCAUAAGCCAGCUUGACUGCGAGAGUGACGGCUCGAGCAGGUACGAAAGUAGGUCUUAGUGAUCCGGUGGUUCUGAAUGGAAGGGCCAUCGCUCAACGGAUAAAAGGUACUCCGGGGAUAACAGGCUGAUACCGCCCAAGAGUUCAUAUCGACGGCGGUGUUUGGCACCUCGAUGUCGGCUCAUCACAUCCUGGGGCUGAAGUAGGUCCCAAGGGUAUGGCUGUUCGCCAUUUAAAGUGGUACGCGAGCUGGGUUUAGAACGUCGUGAGACAGUUCGGUCCCUAUCUGCCGUGGGCGUUGGAAGAUUGAGAGGGGUUGCUCCUAGUACGAGAGGACCGGAGUGAACGCACCACUGGUGUUCGGGUUGUCAUGCCAAUGGCAUUGCCCGGUAGCUAAGUGCGGAAGAGAUAACCGCUGAAAGCAUCUAAGCGGGAAACUUGCCUCGAGAUGAGUCUUCCCUGUCGCUUUAAGUGACCUAAAGGAACGUUUAAGACUAAGACGUUGAUAGGCUGGGUGUGUAAGCGUAGCGAUACGUUGAGCUAACCAGUACUAAUGAACCGUGAGGCUUAACCUG